rnacentral:rRNA from 1 species
ACCGUAAGGUGAGAGGAAGGUGGGAUGACGUCAAAUCAGCACGGCCCUUAUGUCCAGGGCUACACACGUGUUACAAUGGCCGGUACAAAGGGCAGCUACUUCGCGAGAAGAUAGCUAAUCUCGAAAGCCGGUCUCAGUUCGGAUCGAAGUCUGCAACCCGACUUCGUGAAGCUGGAUUCGCUAGUAAUCGCGCAUCAGCCAUGGCGCGGUGAAUACGUUCCCGGGCCUU